CUUUCUUAGUUAACUGCACAGUGUAUGAUAGUGUGGUUUUACUUGUAGAACUGAUUAAAGUAAUGGAUCUGUCACAUUGACCUGCUUGAACCUGGAGGUGUUUGUUCCUCAAAGUGACUUAGUUUUUGUCUUGUAUUUUUUUAGGAAGGUGUGCACCAUCUGCAAAACAGUGAAGGAAACAACAGACAGUAUGAACCAGAGCAAGGACUGAGCUCACCCCACAAUGAAGCAGUGACUUCUCAUUUAAUGGCAGCUCCAGCUGCAAGUCCAGGCUUGAAUGGACUAGAAAGUGGAGUCCUGUUGAUUAAUGGCCUGUAAGACAUAAUGAAACAGUCCGAUGGAACUACACAUACAGCC